UUAUCGAAUAUUUAAAAUUCGUCGAAUCAACGUUCUUCAAAGGAAGUCACUAAAUAUAUAGCAGAAAAAAAAUCUAAAACUUUUGAUAUCUUAUCACGUGCAUGUGUCACAUGAUAGUAGCAACUACGUCAGCAGAAAGAGAAGAAUUAAUCAGUUCAUGAAAUGCUGAUAUGUGGUAAAAAUGAUAUAGGUUGUCGUUUAUGGAAUAAAAAGUAUUUCUUUCAGGCUUCAAAGACUGUAAAUUUUCAAGGUAUUAAGGUUUUCAUCAUGUCUAACGAAAUUGAAGGAGUGUUUACAUUCUCUUGGGAAAUCGGCUACAUCAAUGAUUUAGUAAAUAGAAGAGAUGAAUACCAGAACGAAAGUCAAAUUGUUGAGGCUGAACAAUUGAAUGGCACAAAAUGGUUUUUAAAAGUGCACCGAUAUCAAUCACCAUUUCCAGGCUGUUUUUCGUGUUCUCUAUGCAGGCUAUAUGAAGACGGAAAAUCUGAAAAUAUAUCAGUAACAUUUAAAUUAGAACUGAUUGAUGGAAGUGGGAAGAUUUUCAAAUCAGUCGUAAAGGAAAAUAUCUGUUUUUCAAAUGGAUAUAGCAGUGGAGUGGACCGUUUUCUAGAUAGAAAAUCCUUGGAUAUGAAAAUGACGCAAUACAUUACGAAUCCGACAUUAACUGUCCGCUGCCACAUAAUUGAAGAAAGCUUCAAAAAACAAGCACUGGCGGAGGAAAUUCCUACUGCAAUCCGUACACAGUGGAAAAUAAAUAUUCGUGGUCAUAAAAAUUGGACGAAGAAAAUAAAAGUUCCAUUUCAUGAAUCUACUCGUAUAGAUAUUAUUAUGCAAGCAUCCGACGAAAGAAUCAACAUAAAAAUUGGAGAAGUGGGUUUGGUACAACCUUAUGAAAUGGAUAUAUCAAUAUUGGAUGAUAAAAAUCGCAAAAUAGAUUGUGAAUUGACAAAAAAAGCCGUCGAAAACCAAAAAUUUGAGACUUGGAUUGAAAAAAGUCAGCUUGUGGACGAAUCACGUUUUCACUUACCGUAUUCGUUCACUCUGGUAUGUACCAUUAUAACUUCAAGUGCAAAUUUGGAUUCAAGCUCUGAGAAUCGGACGCAUGAAGAUUCUUUUCCAUGUUUAAUGGAUUCUCCUUUACCUCUGCAAGACGAUCUCAAAGAAAUGCUAUUGAAUGACAAGCAUAGCGACGUUCAAUUGAAGACACGUGACAAAAUCAUUGCUGCUCACAAAUGUUUGCUGUCAGCCCGAUCUCCCGUGUUCUCUAAAAUGUUUGAUCAAGAUAUGCUGGAAACUCAGACUGGCGUUGUUGAUAUUCCGGAUGUAGAAAGUGAAACUCUGCAAUCAUUUUUAGAGUUUCUGUACACUGACACGAUCACCAACACUGAUUAUGAGAAAUUGUUGAAACUGAUGUUUGUGGCUGAGAAAUAUCAAGUGGAUUACUUGAAAAAACGAUGCUCAGUAAUACUGAUGUCCAAACUGUCUUUGCAGAAUGUCUGUGAAGUGGUUUCUGUUUCUGAUAUGGUCAAUCAACCGAGUUUGAAACUGUGUGCAGUUAAUUUUAUAAAAGAAAACAAAAAGAAGAUUCUAUCCUCACCUGUUUGGUCAGAGUGGGUGGGAAAGAACAUGGAAUUAGCCAAUGAAAUUCUGACGAAAUUGAUUGAUGUUUGAACCGAAACACAAUGCAAAUUUCACUUAAGCUUCAAACACUGUAAAUUUUCAAAGUGUAAAGGUUUUUAUCAUGUCUAACGAAACUGAAGGAGAGUUUAAGUUCACUUUGACAAUCGGCAACCUUGAUCACAUUUUAAAUACAACAGGUGAAUACCAGAAAAAAAGUAAAAUUGUUGAGGCUAAGCAAUUGAAUGGUACAAAAUGGUAUUUAAGAUUGUACCGAUAUCAAUCAUCACCUCCAGGUUGUUUUUCGUGUUUUCUAUGCAGAAUUAAUGACGACGACAAUUCUGAAAAUAUAACUGUAACAUAUAAAUUAGAAUUGAUUGAUAUGUAUGGGAAGAUUUUCAAAUCUGUUGUAAAGGAAAAUAUAACUUUUUCAAGAAGAUCUAGCAGUGAAGUUGACAGUUUUCUAGACAGUAAUUCCCUGAAACAGUAUUGGAAAUUCACCGGAUUCUUGCAUUUAACAUUAAUUUUCCGCUGCCACAUAAUUGACGCAAGCUACAAAAAACAAGCAAUGACGGUGGAAAUUCCGAGUGUGAUCCAUACACAGUGGAAAAUAAAUAUUCCUGGUCCUGAAAAUUGGACCAAGAAAGUAAAAAUUCCAUUUCAUGAAUGUACUCAUAUAGAUAUUAUUGUGCAUGCUUCUGAUGAAGGAAUUAACAUAAAAAUUGAGAAAGUGGAUUUGUUACAACCUCAUAAAAUGAAUAUAUCAAUAUUGGAUGAUGAAAAUCGUAAAAUAGAUUGUGAAUUGCCAAAAAAAGCCUUCGAAAACCAGAAAUUUGAGACUUGGAUUGAAAAAAGUCAUCUUGUGGACGAAUCACGCUUUCACUUACCGUAUUCGUUCACUCUGGUAUGUACCAUUACAACUUCUGGUGAAAAUUCGGAUUCAAACGCUGAGAAUUGGAAGCAAGAUUAUUCUUUUCCAUAUUUAAUGGGUUCUCCAUUACCUCUGCAAGAAGAUCUCAAAGAAAUGCUAUUGAAUGACAAGCAUAGCGACGUUAAAUUGAAGACACGUGACAAAAUCAUAGCUGCUCACAAAUGCUUGCUGUCAGCCCGAUCUCCCGUGUUCUCCAAAAUGUUUGAUCAAGAUAUGCUGGAAACUCAGACUGGCAUUGUUGAUAUUCCAGAUGUAGAAAGUGAUACUCUGCAAUCAUUUUUAGAAUUUCUGUACACUGAUACGAUCACCCACACUGAUUAUGAGAAAUUGUUGAAACUGAUGUUUGUGGCUGAUAGAUAUCAAGUGGAUUACUUGAAAACACGAUGCUCAAUAAUACUGAUGUCCAAAGUGUCGUUGGAGAACGUCUGUGAAGUGGUUUCUGUUUCUGAUAUGGUCAAUCAACCGAGUUUGAAACUGUGUGCAGUUAAUUUUAUAAAGGAAAACAAAAAGAAGAUUAUUUCCUCACCUGUUUGGUUAGAGUGGGUGGAAAAGAACAUGAAAUUAGCCAAUGAAAUUCUGAUGAAGUUGAUUGAUGUUUGAAUAGAAACGCAAUGCAAAUUUCACUAAAAGAAAUAUUCUUGAAAUUAUGCAAAAGAACUGGCUUGGCGCAGAUUGUGAAAUUGGCACUAUUUCUGUAAUAUUGAAAUUUUACUUAUGUAUUUUUCAAACUGUUCGAUGAAAAUAUAUUUGUAUAUUUUUUUGUUGUAUAAUUUGUACUCUUAUGACAGAAUUUAAUUUUGAUCUUUAUUUUUUUAUGCUUACUUCGAAAUAUUAAGGAACGAAGUUAUCUUAUUGUGGAGCUAAUUUAAAGUUAUAUUUCUUACCUCUUUCACUUACA